GAUGAACGCUGGCGGCGUGCCUAAUACAUGCAAGUCGAGCGAAAAGACGAGGAGCUUGCUCCUCUGACGUUAGCGGCGGGCGGGUGAGUAACACGUGGAUAACCUACUUAUAAGACGGGUAUAACUUCGGGAAACCGGAGCUAAUACCGGAGAAUAUAUUGCACCGCAUAGGUCAAUGGUGAGAGACGGCUUUGGUGGCAGUAAUAGAGGGAUCCGCGCCGGAUUAGGUAGUUGGUAAGGUAACGGCCUACCAAGGCAACGAGGCGUAUCCGAGCGCAGGGGGUGAUCGCCCACACUGGAGCUGAGCCACGGUCCAGGCUCCUACGGGAGGCAGCAGUAGGGAAUCGUCCGCAGUGGGCGAAAGCCUGACGGAGCAAGCCCGCGUGAGUGACGGAGGUCUUCGGUGCGUAAUGCUCUCUUAUUAGUGAAGAACAAAUGUGUAAGUAACUGUGGACGUCUUGACGGUACCUAAUCAGAAAGCCCCGGCUAACUACGUG
rnacentral:rRNA from 1 species